GCCCGGAUGGCUCAGUGGCAGAGCGAGUCAUUGGUAAUGACUAGGUCGAGGGUUCGAUUCCCUCUCUGGGCUCAA
rnacentral:tRNA from 1 species